ACAGGAAACACAUACACGUCAUUCUGCCGAAUCAAGUUUUCUUCUUUCACCACUGAGGGCUUUUGUGCAAGGCCAGACAACUGCCCGCCUGCCCGCCCUUCACGAGGCUCACCUCCCCACCACCGGGCACACUCUGCCAACACUCCACCCCUCUCCUCCAUUCACACCCCGUAAUUUAAAAACUGGCAACUUCGACCAUAAAGAUUUGCUGUGAAAGUGAUGUCUACAUAUUUAAAGCAACUUUUAAAACCCCUAUUAACCUGAAGGUUACUGAGGCUGUGAAGUCAAAAGGAAAAUGUAAGAGGCUGCCGAGUUCUCAAAGUGGGAUGAAUAGAAUCAUUCAUGUUCAUCUGGAGAGAAACACGUUUUCCUGUGACUGAAUGCUAAGAGAAGUAUAUUAGAAGUCUCUUUUUCUAAAAGUUCAUAAGGUAGCAUAACACAUAAUAUAGUGCUUUUUUGCAAAGAAAAUGAAAAGCAUUACAAAAAUAUACCUUUCUCAUGCCAGUCUUCCAUAAAUGCUAAGGUCAUAACUGAAUUUAGAUUUUAUGUAAUGGUUUUGGGGGUAAUGAAAAUAAUUUGAUGGAGUAUAUUAUUUUUUGAUGCUCAAAAACCAAAUACAGUGAAAAGAGUUUGAGAGUCUUGUCUAUAUGUGAAAUUUAAUAUUUUGCUUAGACUGAGCCUCCCUCUUGCAUUAGAUAUACUUGAAGUGGGCUUUUUUGGCUAGUGCUAGAUCUCCAUAAGUUUGAAUUUUCAGAUGAGUGUUAAAGUAAUAAAAUGUUCUGCCAUUGGUUCAAAGAGGCUUAGAAUAUUAGGGAUGUCGGCAGGAAUGUUGACAUCCCACUGUGAAAAGCAUUUUUCUCUUCUUAGUGGAACUCUCACUGUUGCACACUUCUUCUGAUUAGAUAAUGGAGGAGACCAGAUUUUGAGAGCACAUGAGUUAGUCUUAAGCCCUCUAAAAAAAAAGUAAAUCUCAAGUAUCUUUCCUAGCAUUGCUAAGGAUGAUUAAAGAUUAUAGCACAAGGUCAUUAGGCAUUAAACGAUUCUGAGGCCCAGUGUUGUUUGUUUCUUUCCCAGAGAGUGGAAUAAUUACUGAUUAAAGCAUGGGGUCUCAACUCUCAAUGUGUUUGCAGAUGGUCAGGGAAUAAAACUCUGAACUAUUAUUUCAGCAGAAAUAAUGUUUUAUAUAUGUUCAUUAUGAAUAAGAACAAAGCCUUAAAAAUUUGGUUGAUCUUUUGCCCCAAAAUCACUUGGCAAUGCUUGCUAAAAAACAGAAAAUAACUCAUGUAAAUACUAAAAUCUCUAUUUUAAACAAAACUUCCGGGUGACUUAUAUACAGGAGUCUUUGUGGACACUUUGAGAAAUAAUGGAUGAGAAUGGUAACCUUAUAUUUAAUGGAUUGACUGGUCAUUUUGGCUGUGUGGACGCCCAGUUAAAGUGUAAUGACUAAGGUCAUCUGUAAAGACUGAUUUUAAUAAUCUCCUUACAAUUUUACUUGAAGGGAGUUAUCCAUGUUAAUCUCCAGGCAUGAAAUGUAAUGAUCUGUUUUAUUAUUGUUAAUUUAUGCUCAAGCUUCCUUUUGCUCUUCUUUUUAACCAACAUAACAAUUAUACAGUCUAACUAUUUGCCUCAGGGUGAUGCUGUAAUAGGACUAAUUAAAUAUUUAAUAUUUUAAAGGACUUAAACAAUCUUGUAAGUAAUAUGUUAAGAGGAGAUAAAAUCAUGAUGAUCUCCUUAGUAGGAGGAAUAUUAAUGAAGCACUGGGGUCAGGCAUUCCUUUAAUGCCCAUGUCCUGUAUCUGUCAGAGGCUGAAUGGUUUAAUGGUUAAAUAAAUGACUGUUGUAACCUAUGGCAGUUCUUCUACUUCCUAGUUGGAAAGCCUAGAACAAAUUUUUUAACCUUUCUAUGCCAAUCUCAUAUUUCUCACCUUUAGAGUGAGGUGAUAAGAAUACCACCUACCUUUUUGGACUGUUGUGAUGACAUAUAAGGUAUGUGUCUAUCGAAAGAAAGUGGUUUUUAUUAAUAUGAAUUAAUCCCAUAACUAUUGGUAUUACAAUAUCAAUUCAAUACAAGUAUUGAAUUCAAAACUUGUAGGUUCUUAUUUUAAAACUAGCAAUAAAAUGGAUAUGUACUUUUAGCUCUAAUCUCAAAUUUAGAAAGAAGGAAAAGGGAGGACGAAAAAGAGGAAGAAAAGGAGUAGGAGAAUAUCUCUAAAAUCAACCCCAAACAGGGGCUAAAGACAAAGAGAAAGUGAUCAUUGUGCAGAAGAUGAAGACUCAUUGUAGGUAUGUAUAGUAAAUGUAAAACUGACCUCACUGAUCUAGAAAAAUAAUAGAAUCAUCAAAUGUCAGAGCACACAGAUUAUAAGGAAAAUGCAUUUUUUUUAGGUCAAGGGUUAGUGAAUAAAUCUGAAUCAGCAGAAAGUUUUCAUUAUGACUUUUUAGAAAAUGAUAUCUUGUUUUUUCAAAGCUCAUACAGAAAAAUAACUAGACUAACAAAAAUUUCGAAAAAGUUGUUCUUUUGAAACGAGGUCAGGAUUAAUUGAAUACGCAUUUUAAAUACAUUAACUGUCACAUCUAAAUAUUUUUGAAAACUUGUUUCUCCUAUUUACUAGAUGGCUUUGAAGGUUUUCCCUUUACAACUAAAGAUGUUUUCUAAACUGCUUUCUAAUGGAGUCUAAAUAUAAAAUUCAUCCAGAUGAUUUUUCUUGAUUUUAUGAAUUCCAAAUCUGGUGGGCGUUGCAAAUAAUGAGAUUUUGUUGUACAUUCCAAGUUCACCGGCCUUAUAAUGAACUUCAUAUUCUAUGGGCAAACGGGCAAGAGGAGCAGUGUUCCCAAUGCCAUUCAUUCAACAAGUAUUUAUGAUUGCGAUUGUGUGCUAGGCCAUUCAUAAGAAGAAGGAAUGAACUUACAUUUUCUUAGCUGUGCAUUUUGUUAUCAUUUUAAUGCCCCAUCAGCAAGUGUUCUUCAUUAAUUCUUAAGCAUUUAUUAACUAUAUGUUGGAGUUAUAAGAAGUUUUUAAAAAUCAGGAUGAGGUUCCACUUUCCUUUCUUCUAGGACAGGUACAGCUGACCUUCAAUGUUCAUGGAUUCAAUUUUUGAUAAUUUUCCUACUUGCUAAAAUUUAUUUGUAACUCCCCUCCUCCAAUCAAUACUUGUGGUACUUUUGUAGUCAUUCAUAGACAUGUACAGAAUGGUGAAAAUUUUGGUGGGCCAUUCACAUGUUCCCAGCUGAGGCUUAAGCAAGUGAUGCUGCCUUCUUGAUUCAGCUUUCCUACUAUAAGUGUGUGUUUUUACUUGGUGUAUUUAGUGUCAUGUUUUUUGCGGUUUUUCUUUUGCUUUUCUUUGGAGAUUUAGAAUGAUCCCUAAGCAUAGACAACUGGAGUGCUGCCUAGUGUUCCUAAGUGCGAGAAGGCUGUGAUGUGUCUUACGGAGGAAAUAUGUGUUAGAUAAGCUUUGUUCAGAUAUGUUGGCCAUGAUUUCUAUGUUAAUAAGUCAACAAUACGUAUUUUAAAAGGUGUCCUUAUACUGAAACACACAUAAGACAACAUUAUGUUUUGAUUGGUUGACAAAAAUGUUGUGACCAGAGGCUUGCAGGAAUUGAACCAUCUAUUUCUCCUAAGAGUAAUGGUUCAGCAUUUGCGAAUUCAGUGUUUGUAGUGACUUUAUAGAACAUAACUAUCAUGAAUAACAAGAAUCAAUUGUAUUUGAAAUUUGGGGAGAUUUUAAUAAAUACUUAUUCACUAAAUUGUCCCUUUUAAUGUAAACGAAGAUGCAUGAUUUUUUUCUGACCUGUAAGCAACUAGUAAGUAAAUACAGAGGGGUGGAAAAAUGAAAAUUAUAUAUAGGGCUAAACCAUAAUUUUUGUUUUUUUCUUUCUAAACUUAAAAAAAUAAAAACUUCUGCUAAAAAACAAUGUAAUAAACCUGGAGGGGUUCGAAGUCUAGAAACAAUUUGCAAUGUGAUGGAAUCUUGUUUGUUAGUAGUGAUUUGUCUGCCCUAUGCCUAGCAUAGUUUCUAACUUAUAUGGAGUGCUCAAGGUAUUUUAAAAAAUAAAAAUAAAUUGCAUUGAAUCAGUCAUAAACUGACACUGAAAUAGCCUUGAGAGUGAAAA